rnacentral:rRNA from 1 species
AUUGAACGCUGGCGGCAUGCCUUACACAUGCAAGUCGAACGGUAACGGGCCUUCGGGUGCCGACGAGUGGCGAACGGGUGAGUAAUACAUCGGAACGUGCCCGAUCGUGGGGGAUAACGAGGCGAAAGCUUUGCUAAUACCGCAUACGAUCUACGGAUGAAAGCAGGGGACCGCAAGGCCUUGCGCGGACGGAGCGGCCGAUGGCAGAUUAGGUAGUUGGUGGGAUAAAAGCUUACCAAGCCGACGAUCUGUAGCUGGUCUGAGAGGAUGAUCAGCCACACUGGGACUGAGACACGGCCCAGACUCCUACGGGAGGCAGCAGUGGGGAAUGUUGGACAAUGGGCGCAAGCCUGAUCCAGCCAUGCCGCGUGCAGGAUGAAGGCCUUCGGGUUGUAAACUGCUUUUGUACGGAACGAAAAGCCUUCUUUUAAUACAGGAGGGUCAUGACGGUACCGCAAGAAUAAGCACCGGCUAACUACGUG